UGUGAUAAAUAUUCUAAGUUCCUUAAGGUCUGAGACCUUGUCUAAUUUAGCUUUGUAUUUUCCCUAGUGGUGUUAUAUGGCUAUAAAUCACGAACCAUUACAAGCUUCUGAAGAAUCAAAAUUGCUGUAGACAGAAAGGGCUGUGGAAAGACACAAAGUAGAUAAAUGAACAAAGAAGUGCAAUAACAUGCCCUUUGGAAAGUUGUCCUUGUAGAAGCAGUGCACCCGAAGAGCACUAACUUGCAGAUCAAUGUGAUCAUGAAGGAUCUUCUGCAUUACUUGUUUGAAUCAAAGAGAGAACCAGCUGUUUUUCCACCUCCAACUGUUAUUUGGAAGGAGCAGAGGAAGAUCUGUUUCCUCAUUAGCUAUGCACAGGAGAGGAAAAAAAUGAGAGGCAAGAUGCAUGACAGUCUGUGGAGUGGCAGCAGAUUAAUGACUAAGAAUGAGAGGCAACUGGAAUAGUGAAAAAAAAGCACCAAAUCAUUUAUCCAUACCAUCGUUUCCCUUUUAUUUAGUGAGAGAUAGAAGUUUUCAAAAUACUUGAAUAAAAUUAAACGAAAGAAUUAAAUGAUCAGCAUUAAGAUAUGAAAAAGAGAGAGAUAGGGAGGAGAGAGA